AUUGGAAAAAUUGUUGGGUGAUGUCAAAUGCCACAAAAGGAGGUGCUAUAACAAAAGUAGAAAUCUAUACAGCUUCGACUUGUAUGAGGUAGUUUAACUCACUAAUUAAGGUUACUAAUGAAUGGGUUCCAAAUAUUGUUUCAUGAUGAAUGGUGAGUUUAAGGUUUUCGAUAAUCCUUCAUGGCGAUUUUGAAAGCCAGCUGUUACCAUAAAGAAGAGCGUCAUGGCGAUUGCGAAUACGGUGGCAACACUUAUAUGUUGUUGUUUGGAGUAGUGCAAAUUUUAAUGUCACAUAUACUGGAUUUCCAUAGCAUGGUUUUGGUGUCGGUUGUUGCGGCCAUAAUGUCGUUUUGUUACUCGUCUAUUGGACGAAAAAUAUCGGCAACUCGACUAAUUCAUCGAACCCCCUCAUUUCUUGGAGGAGUUCUUUGUGCAAAGGCCUCGAUGCUGUUUCACAAUGUACCUCCGGCUGUGUUGGUCCUGUUUCUACGAGAGCAUUGAUCAGAAUGGGCCGAUUUUAAUGUUGAUGCUUACUCAGCUGCUUCGGUAAAAGCUAGCCCGUAUGGAUAUCAAGGGUCACGGCCCACGAGGUUUACAGGUAGCCAGAUCAUCAUGCCACUUGGCCUGACAAUUGAACAUGAAGAGAUGCUUGAAGUUAUUAGACUCGAAGGUCACACAGUUGGUCAAGAAGAUCCUUUUGUGUCGAGGGACAUUCAUCUCUUACAGUUAUGCAGCGGAAUCGAUGAGAAUGCAGUGGGUCGAGUGUUGGAUAAAUAUUUUCUAUCCCCAAACCCGAAGCAUCGUGAAUCCUACAUCUCUCUAUUGCUUCUCUUUUCGGUUGCGUCUGCCAAAGUCUUUUUCAAGGUAAUUUGCAGCUUCUUCCGAAUCCAGCAAUCUGUUAAGCAUAUGAGCAGAAGCUUGAUUGUGGUGGUGGCUAUGUGAGAUGGCGUAUGUGCAGUUAUAACCCGUUACAUUGACUCACUGUUUUUCCAGGCCUAAGUGCAAACAGGAUAUUCAUCCAAUUGGCAUUAUUUGGGAUUUGGUGAUGUUAUGCCAAGAAGUUAGAUGAAUCGUUUUUUGGACUCUAAAUGAGGCCCCAACUUUGAUUACGAAUCACUCUCUGAUGCAAGUAUGGGCCAGGAGUCUCAGAUGUUUAUGUCAUGUGGUAUCGUCUUUUAUGGGGCUCUAUGAGUGGACUUUCACCCGCGCAGGAUGUGUUAACUUCUAAUGCAUAUAUCAAAAUAUGUGAUGCAUGUGGGAUUUGGAAAUAAUAUUAGGGGUUCUGGGGUAGACAGUGGAUGUAUAAGGCUUACUUCUUUGUAAUUUUGGUUACAUUGACCUAUAGUUUACUGUAGAAAUAGAAUUAAUGAUUUGUAUACCUUAAAAUCAACUUGUAAAAGUAAGCUCUCU